AGAGUUUGAUCCUGGCUCAGAACGAACGCUGGCGGCGUGCCUAACACAUGCAAGUCGAACGGGGGUAGCAAUACCUCAGUGGCGCACGGGUGAGUAAGACAUGGGUAAUCUGCCUCGAAGAGGGGGAUAACUACGCGAAAGUGUAGCUAAUACCGCAUACGCUGCAGGGAUGAUUUUCCUGCAGGAAAGGUAGGGGCAACCCUUCCACUUUGAGAUGAGCUCAUGCCCUAUUAGCUAGUUGGUGAGGUAACGGCUCACCAAGGCGAAGAUGGGUAACUGGUCUGAGAGGACGAUCAGUCACACUGGAACUGAGACACGGUCCAGACUCCUACGGGAGGCAGCAGUGGGGAAUAUUGCGCAAUGGGCGAAAGCCUGACGCAGCAACGCCGCGUGAGUGAUGAAGGCCUUCGGGUUGUAAAGCUCUUUCGGCUGGGAAGAAGGGCUUCAUGGUGAAUAGCCAUGAGGUUUGAUGGUACCAGAAGAAGAAGCACCGGCUAACUUCGUGCCAGCAGCCGCGGUAAUACGAAGGGUGCGAGCGUUGUUCGGAAUUACUGGGCGUAAAGGGUUCGUAGGCGGGAGGAUAAGUUGAGUGUGAAAACCCCGGGCUUAACCCGGGACCUGCAUUCAAAACUGUCCUUCUUGAGUAUCGGAGAGGGUUGUGGAAUUGCUGGUGUAGGAGUGAAAUCCGUAGAGAUCAGCAGGAACACCUGAGGCGAAAGCGACAACCUGGUCGAAUACUGACGCUGAGGAACGAAAGCGCGGGGAGCAAACAGGAUUAGAUACCCUAGUAGUCC
rnacentral:rRNA from 1 species